AAUGUACAAACAAGGCCGCUCCAAAAAAGGGUAAUUCACUGCUCUGUAAAACCCAAUGGCUGCAAGCACAGAAAGAAGGGACAAGUUAAGUGCUUUACCUCAUCGAUUGGAUCAUCGAAGAACAUAAGCAUCUGGAGUAAAAACUUCACGGCAGCAGAACAUACAACACACGCUACAACACGCACUGGUGAAAAGUAUUAUCUCAGUUGAGAAACUUCAAAACAACAAUAGUUUCAACAAAGAGAAAAGGGAGCCAUUAUGGAAGAGAACUGAAUUGAAUAUCUCGAUACUCAUAAAAGACCGAACUUAAGAAACCUCAGCUCAAAUGGGCAAUAUGAUGGCUACUUUAACUGCUUAUGGCUGCAAGCAAAGGAAAGAAGGGAACAGUUAGAGAUCAAAGCUGAUGAAACCCAUACCACCUAAGAAAUCACUA